AUUGAACGCUGGCGGCAUGCCUUACACAUGCAAGUCGAACGGUAACAGGUCUUCGGAUGCUGACGAGUGGCGAACGGGUGAGUAAUACAUCGGAACGUGCCUAGUAGUGGGGGAUAACUACUCGAAAGAGUGGCUAAUACCGCAUGAGAUCUACGGAUGAAAGCAGGGGAUCGCAAGACCUUGUGCUACUAGAGCGGCCGAUGGCAGAUUAGGUAGUUGGUGGGAUAAAAGCUUACCAAGCCGAAGAUCUGUCGCUGGUCUGAGAGGACGAUCAGCCACACUGGGACUGAGACACGGCCCAGACUCCUACGGGAGGCAGCAGUGGGGAAUUUUGGACAAUGGGCGCAAGCCUGAUCCAGCAAUGCCGCGUGCAGGAUGAAGGCCUUCGGGUUGUAAACUGCUUUUGUACGGAACGAAAAGCCCCGGGUUAAUACCCUGGGGUCAUGACGGUACCGUAAGAAUAAGCACCGGCUAACUACGUGCCAGCCGCCGCCGUAA
rnacentral:rRNA from 1 species